rnacentral:rRNA from 1 species
UACGUAGGGGGCAAGCGUUGUCCGGAAUCAUUGGGCGUAAAGCGCGUGUAGGCGGCCAGAUAAGUCCGCUGUGAAAUCUCGAGGCUCAACUUCGAGCUGUCGGUGGAAACUGUCUGGCUAGAGUCCGGAAGAGGAGAAUGGAAUUCCUGGUGUAGCGGUGAAAUGCGCAGAUAUCAGGAAGAACACCCGUGGCGAAGGCGGCUCUCUGGUACGUGACUGACGCUGAGACGCGAAAGCGUGGGGAGCGAACAGG